rnacentral:rRNA from 1 species
UCAAGCGAACAAGAGCGCAGGGUGGAUGCCAAGGCACUGAUUGCCGACGAAGGACGCGGUAAGCUGCGAAAAGCCAUGGGGAGCCGCAAGCAAGCAUUGAUCCAUGGAUAUCCGAAUGGGGGAACCCGGCCGGGGCAAUGCCCGGUCACCGUUCAAUGAAUCCAUAGUUGAACGGGGGGCACCCGGGGAAGUGAAACAUCUAAGUACCCGGAGGAGAAGAAAGAAAACUCGAUUCCCUUAGUAGUGGCGAGCGAAGAGGGAAGAGGCCAAACCAGGGGUCUACGGACGCCUGGGGUUGCGGGCCAUCGACAAGUAACAAUAGCCGAGCCGAAGAUCGUUGGAAAGCGAUGUCAGAGAGCGUGACAGCCGCGUAGGCGAAGGCGACGAUAGCGAGAUGGUACCAGAGUACCGCGGGACACGAGAAAUCCUGUGGGAAGCAGGGGGGACCACCCCCCAAGCCUAAAGACGAUCAGUGACCGAUAGCGCAUAGUACCGUGAGGGAAAGGUGAAAAGAACCCCGGGAGGGGAGUGAAAGAGAACCUGAAACCCUGUGUUUACAAGCAGAGGAAGCGCAAGAAAGGCGCGACUUUGUACUUUUUGUAGAACGGACCGGCGAGUUGCGUUAUGUUGCGAGGUUAAGGUCUUGAGGACUGGAGCCGAAGCGAGAGCGAGUCUGAAGAGGGCGAAAGUAACAUGACGCAGACCCGAAACCGGGCGACCUAUCCAUGGGCAGGUUGAAGUGAAGGUAAAGCUUCAUGGAGGACCGAACCAGACGUCCGUUGAAAAGGGCGGGGAUGACCUGUGGAUAGCGGAGAAAUUCCAAUCGAGCUCGGAUAUAGCUGGUUCUCCUCGAAAUAGCUUUAGGGCUAGCCUCGUGUUAGUCUGAUGGGGGUAGAGCACUGAAUGGGCUAGGGGGUCACAAAGCUUACCGAACCCUAUCAAACUGCGAAUACCAUUAAGACGAUGCACGGGAGUCAGACUGCGAGUUAUAAGAUCCGUAGUCAAAAGGGAAACAGCCCAGAUCGACAGCUAAGGUCCCCAAGUGUGUGUUAAGUGGAAAAGGAUGUGUGAUUGCACAGACAACCAGGAUGUUGGCUUAGAAGCAGCCACUCAUUUAAAGAGUGCGUAAUAGCUCACUGGUCGAGUGACUCUGCGCCGAAAAUUCAACGGGGCUAAAACCUGCACCGAAGCUUAGGCAUCCGCAAGGAUGGGUAGGGGAGCGUUGUGUAUGCGGUGAAGCGUUAGCGUAAGCGGGCGUGAAGCGUACACAAGUGAGAAUGCCGGAAUGAGUAGCGAGAAUGAUGUAAGAAUCAUCAUGGCCGAAAGCCUCAGGUUUUUGGAGGAAGGUUCGUCCGCUCCAAGUUAGCCGGGAGCUAAGGUGAGGCCGAAAGGCGUAGCCGAUGCACAUACGGUAGAGAUUCCGUAGCCGCCAAAAGAUUUAAGCAGGGGGACACUUUUGAAGUGUUGGAGCCGGGUGUUGGUUUACCCGGUGGUAACCGAGUGAAAUUUAGUAGCGAAGUCCAGCAUGGAGAGAGGCGAGAAAAGCCCUGUGUAUAUCUGAGGCGCCCGUACCGCAAACCGACACAGGUAGGUAGGAAGAAGAUUCUAAGGCCAACGGGAGAAGGGUUGUUAAGGAACUCGGCAAGUUGACCCCGUAACUUCGGAAUAAGGGGAGCCUCGAAAGAGGCCGCAGUGAAAAGGCCCAAGCAACUGUUUACCAAAAACACAGGUCUAUGCUAAAUCGAAAGAUGACGUAUAUGGGCUGACGCCUGCCCGGUGCUGGAAGGUUAAGAGGAGAGCUUAGCGCAAGCGAAGGUUUGAAUUGAAGCCCCAGUAAACGGCGGCCGUAACUAUAACGGUCCUAAGGUAGCGAAAUUCCUUGUCGGGUAAGUUCCGACCCGCACGAAUGGCGUAACGACUUGGGCGCUGUCUCAACAAGGGACUCGGUGAAAUUGAAGUAUGGGUGAAGAUGCCCAUUACCCGCGACUGGACGGAAAGACCCCGUAGAGCUUUACUGUAGCUUAUCAUUGGAAUUUGGUAACGGAUGUACAGGAUAGGUGGGACGCAGAGAAGGUAGGACGUCAGUUCUGCUGGAGCGGCCGUUGGGAUACCACUCUUCUGUUACUGAAUUUCUAACAACGUGCAAUGAACUUGGCGAUGGACAGUGAUAGGUGGGCAGUUUGACUGGGGCGGUCGCCUCCCAAAGAGUAACGGAGGCGCCCAAAGGUUCCCUCAGAAUGGAUGGAAAUCAUUCGCAGAGUGCAAAGGCAGAAGGGAGCCUGACUGCGAGACGUACAGGUCGAGCAGAGAGGAAACUCGGGCUUAGUGAUCAGGCGGUAUCGAGUGGAAGAGCCGUCGCUCAACGGAUAAAAGCUACCUCGGGGAUAACAGGCUGAUCUCCCCCAAGAGUCCACAUCGACGGGGAGGUUUGGCACCUCGAUGUCGGCUCGUCGCAUCCUGGGGCUGAAGCAGGUCCCAAGGGUUUGGCUGUUCGCCAAUUAAAGCGGCACGCGAGCUGGGUUCAGAACGUCGUGAGACAGUUCGGUCCCUAUCCAUCGUGGGCGCAGGAGUCAUGACGGGAGCUGUCCCUAGUACGAGAGGACCGGGAUGGACGCACCUCUGGUGCAACAGUUGUCUUGCCAAAGGCACAGCUGGGAAGCGAAGUGCGGACGGGAUAAACGCUGAAGGCAUCUAAGCGUGAAGCCCCCCUGAAGAAGAAGACUGCCACUGCUUCAAGCAGGUAAGACCCCUCAGAGACGAUGAGGUAGAUAGGUCGUCGGUGGAAGCGCUGUGAGGCGUGGAGCUUGGCGAUACUAAUCGGUCGAGGGCUUGAUCUG